rnacentral:rRNA from 1 species
GAUCAUGGCUCAGGAUGAACGCUGGCGGCGUGCCUAACACAUGCAAGUCGAACGAGGUAAAUGAGAUGAAAUUUUCGGAUGGAUUCUUAUUUACCGAGUGGCGGACGGGUGAGUAACGCGUGGGUAACCUGCCUCAUACAGGGGGAUAACGAUUGGAAACGAUUGCUAAUACCGCAUAAGUGCACAGUACCACAUGGUGCAGUGUGAAAAACUCCGGUGGUAUGAGAUGGACCCGCGU